AAUUCUCAAAAACCUUUCUUUUUGAAAGGGUUUUGGACUUGGAGGCUCUUUGCUGGCUUUUGCCGGCUCCUCUCAAAUGAAUUAGUGGGGUCCGCUUUGUCGAUCCUUGACGUGAUAAGAUGUUUCUACGUCUCGGGUUUGGCGAUGCCUCUUGGGCACCUGCUUCCAACCGUCUCAUGGACAAUGAUGGUGUUCCGGUCACCGCCGUUUCAUCGGUCGGGAGGCUUGACCCACCAACAAAAC
rnacentral:misc_RNA from 1 species